rnacentral:rRNA from 1 species
GGAACAUGGCGUCAUAGAGGGUGAGAAUCCCGUAUGCGACUGUGGCUCGAGCCCAUGUGAAGCCUCUUCGACGAGUCGAGUUGUUUGGGAAUGCAGCUCAAAAUGGGUGGUAAAUUUCAUCUAAAGCUAAAUACUGGCUGGAGACCGAUAGCGCACAAGUAGAGUGAUCGAAAGAUGAAAAGCACUUUGGAAAGAGAGUCAAACAGUACGUGAAAUUGUUGAAAGGGAAGCGCUUGCAACCAGACCUGUCCGUAGGUGAUCAGCCGCUGUUCUCAGUGGUGCACUCGCUCUGCGAUCAGGCCAGCAUCGGUUCUGGCGGUCGGAUAAAGGCCUUGGGAAUGUAGCUCCCUCCUCCCUCCGGGGAGUCUUAUAGCCCUCGGUGCAAUGCGGCCAGCUGGGACCGAGGACCGCGCUUCGGCUAGGAUGCUGGCGUAAUGGUUGUAAGCGACCCGUCUUGAAACACGGACCAAGGAGUCUACAACUUAUGCGAGUGUUUGGGUGUUAAACCCAUACGCGGAAUGAAAGUGAACGGAGGUGAGAACCCUUGAAGGGCGCAUCAUCGACCGAUCCAGAUGUCUUCGGAUGGAUUUGAGUAUGAGCAUAAUUCGUGGGACCCGAAAGAUGGUGAACUAUGCCUGAAUAGGGUGAAGCCAGAGGAAACUCUGGUGGAGGCUCGCAGCGGUUCUGACGUGCAAAUCGAUCGUCAAAUUUGGGUAUAGGGGCGAAAGACUAAUCGAACCAUCUAGUAGCUGGUUCCUGCCGAAGUUUCCCUCAG